rnacentral:snRNA from 1 species
UCUUUUAUUCUACGUUUAAAC